rnacentral:lncRNA from 1 species
UUCUGUGUUUAGACUUCCAAAAUGGCUUAUUAAAAGAAUUGAUCAACUUUGCCGAGCUUGAUCUUGUGAAAAGGAAUUGAGAAGAAAAAUCUGAGGUUUCUAUUGUUUGAUCAAUUGGAAAGCUGCAUGCAAGCUAGGAUAGGAGUCAAGAAGGUUUAGGUAUUAAGAAUCUAUAUAAUAUGAAUAAUUAUCUGCUAGCCAAGUGGGCACC